GGUAGCAUAAUCAUUUGUCUACUAAUUAUAGACCUGUAUGAAAGGCAAAAUGAGGGUCCAACUGUCUCUUAUAAUAAAUCAAUUAAACUGAUCUUCUAGUAAAAAAGCUAGAAUAAUAACAUAAGACCAGAAGACCCUGUGAAGCUUAAAUAAAACUAUUAAACCACAUAAUAGCUACUUUCGGUUGGGGCGACCUUGGAAAAAAAAAGAACUUCCAAGACCCAGCACAGCUGACAAUUGAACCAAGUUACUCCAGGGAUAACAGCGCAAUCUUCUUCAAGAGCCCAUAUCAAAAAGAAGGUUUACGACCUCGAUGUUGGAUCAGGACAUCCUAAUGGUGCAGCCGCUAUUAAGGGUUCGUUUGUUCAACGAUUAACAGUCCUACGUGAUCUGA
rnacentral:rRNA from 1 species